CGGUCACUGUGAAAGUCACUGUUAAAGGGGCAAUCACUGUGAAAGUCACUGUUAAAGGGGUGUCACUGUGAAAGUUACUGUUUAAGGGGCAGUCAUUGUAAAAGUCACUGAUAAAUAGGCGGUCACUGUGAAAGUCACUGUUAAAGGGGUGGUCACUGUUAAAGGGGCAGUCACUAUUAAAGGGGCG